GACGAACGCUGGCGGCGUGCUUAACACAUGCAAGUCGAGCGGUAAGGGCCCUUUCGGGGGUACACGAGCGGCGAACGGGUGAGUAACACGUGGGUGACCUGCCCUCAGCUCUGGGAUAAGCCUGGGAAACCGGGUCUAAUACUGGAUAUGACUCCAUGACGCAUGUUGUGGGGUGGAAAGCCUUGUGCGGCUGAGGAUGGGCCCGCGGCCUAUCAGCUUGUUGGUGGGGUGANGGCCUACCAAGGCGACGACGGGUAGCCGGCCUGAGAGGGCGACCGGCCACACUGGGACUGAGACACGGCCCAGACUCCUACGGGAGGCAGCAGUGGGGAAUCUUGCGCAAUGGGCGAAAGCCUGACGCAGCGACGCCGCGUGAGGGAUGACGGCCUGGUUGUAACU
rnacentral:rRNA from 1 species